GUGCAUGCUUUGACAGCACAUAUACUAAAAUUGGAGCAAUACAGAUAAGAUAAGCAUGGCCCCUACUCAAGGAUGACAUGCAAAUCUAUGAAGUGUUCCAUAUUUUU
ensembl:snRNA U6 U6 spliceosomal RNA